ACGAACGCUGGCGGCGUGCUUAACACAUGCAAGUCGAACGGUGAUGGCCAGCUUGCUGGUCUGAUCAGUGGCGAACGGGUGAGUAACACGUGAGUAACCUGCCCCUGACUCUGGGAUAACUACCGGAAACGGUGGCUAAUACCGGAUAUGAGGUGCCUGGGCAUCUGGGCGCCUGGAAAGUUUUUCGGUCAGGGAUGGACUCGGCGGCCUAUCAGCUUGUUGGUGGGGUGAUGGCCUACCAAGGCGACGACGGGGUAGCCGGCCUGAGAGGGCGACCGGCCACACUGGGACUGAGACACGGCCCAGACUCCUACGGAGGCAGCAGUGGGGAAUAUUGCACAAUGGGCGCAAGCCUGAUGCAGCGACGCCGCGUGCGGGAUGACGGCCUUCGGGUUUGUAAACCGCUUUCAGCAGGGAAGAAGCGCAAGUGACGGUACCUGCAAGAAGAAGCGCCGGCUAACUACGUGCCAGGCAGCCGCUGGUAAUACGUAGGGCGCAAGCGUUGUCCGGAAUUAUUGGGCGUAAAGAGCUCGUAGGGCGGUUUGUCGCGUCUGCUGUGAAAUCCUCAGACUCAACCUGGGGCUUGCAGUGGGUACGGGCAGACUAGAGUGCGGUAGGGGUGACUGGAAUUCCUGGUGUAGGCGGUGGAAUGCGCAGAUAUCAGGAGGAACACCGAUGGCGAAGGCAGGUCACUGGGCCGCAAACUGACGCUGAGGAGCGAAAGCAUGGGGAGCGAAGCAGGGAAUUAGAUACCCUGGUAGUCCAUGCCCGGUAACGUUGGGCACUAGGUGUGGGGGUCCAUUCCACGGAUUCCGUGCCGCAGCAAACGCAUUAAGUGCCCCGCCUGGGGAGUACGGCCGCAAGGCUAAAACUCAAAGAAAUUGACGGGGGGCCCGCACAAGCGGCGGGAGCAUGCGGAUUAAUUCGAUGCAACGCGAAGAACCUUUCCAAGGCUUGACAUACACCGGAAAAGUGCAGAGAUGUGCUCCCCGUAAGGUCGGUGUACAGGUGGUGCAUGGUUGUCGUCAGCUCGUGUCGUGAGAUGUUGGGUUAAGUCCCGCAACGAGCGCAACCCUCGUCCCAUGUUGCCAGCGGGUUAUGCCGGGGACUCAUGGGAGGGACUGCCGGGGUCAACUCGGAGGAAGGUGGGGAUGACGUCAAAUCAUCCAUGCCCCAUUAUGUCUUGGGCUUCACGCAUGCUACAACUGGCCGGUAUCAAAGGGCUUGCGAUACCGCAAAGGUGGAGCGAAUCCCAAAAAGCCGGUCUCAGUUCGGAUCGGGGUCUGCCAACUCGACCCGCCGUGAACGUCGGCAGUCGCUAGUAAUCGCAGAUUCAGCAACGCCUGCGGUGAAUACGUUUCCCGGGCCUUGUCACAUACCGCCCGUCAAAGUCAUUGAAUAGUCUGGUAACACCGAAGCCGGUUGGCCCAACCAUUGGGGGGGAGCCGUCUAAGGUGGGACUGGGCAGAUUAGGACU
rnacentral:rRNA from 1 species